CCUACGGGGGGCAGCAGUAGGGAAUUUUGCGCAAUGGGGGAAACCCUGACGCAGCAACACCGCGUGAAUGUUAAGCCCUUCGGGGUGUAAAGUUCUGUCAAUAGGGACGAAUUUUGACUGUACCUAUAAAGGAAGCACCGGCUAACUCCGUGCCAGCAGCCGCGGUAAUACGGGGGGUGCAAGCGUUGUCCGGAAUCAUUGGGCGUAAAGCGUUCGUAGGCGGUAUGUCAAGUCUGAUGUUAAAGCCCGGGGCUCAACUCCGGUUCGGCAUUGGAUACUGGCAAACUAGAAUGUGGUAGAGGUAAAGGGAAUUCCUGGUGUAGCGGUGAAAUGCGUAGAUAUCAGGAGGAACAUCGGUGGCGAAAGCGCUUUACUGGACUGUAACUGACGUUGAGGCUCGAAAGCGUGGGGAGCAAACAGGAUUAGAUACCCCUGUAGUC
rnacentral:rRNA from 1 species